rnacentral:rRNA from 1 species
CCAAUAGCGUAUAUUAAAGUUGUUGCAGUUAAAAAGCUCGUAGUUGAAUUUCGGGAUCAACAUGUCGGUCGUGCCUCUGGUACGUACUGGUAUCGUUGGUUUCUACCUUCUGACGAACCAUGAUGUCAUUAAUUUGGUGUCAUGGGAAAUCAGGACCGUUACUUUGAAAAAAUUAGAGUGUUUAAAGCAGGCACACGCUUGAAUACAUUAGCAUGGAAUAAUGAAAUAGGACGUUUGAUCCUAUUUUGUUGGUUUCUAGGAUCGACGUAAUGAUUAAUAGGGAUAGUUGGGGGCAUUAGUAUUCAAUUGUCAGAGGUGAAAUUCUUGGAUUUAUUGAAGACUAACUACUGCGAAAGCAUUUGCCAAGGAUGUUUUCAUUAAUCAAGAACGAAAGUUAGGGGAUCGAAGACGACCAGAUACCGUCGUAGUCUUAACCAUAAACUAUGCCGACUAGGGAUCGGAUGAUGUUAAUUUUUUAAUGACUCAUUCGGCGCCUUACG